CCUGGCUCAGAUUGAACGCUGGCGGCAGGCCUAACACAUGCAAGUCGAGCGGGGACUUCGGUCCUAGCGGCGAACGGGUGAGGAAUGCUUGGGAAUCUGCCCGGUAGUGGGGGAUAACGUUCCGAGAGGAGCGCUAAUACCGCAUACGUCCUACGGGAGAAAGGGGGGGAUCUUCGGACCUCUCGCUAUCGGAUGAGCCCAAGUCGGAUUAGCUAGUUGGUGAGGUAAUGGCUCACCAAGGCGACGAUCCGUAGCUGGUCUGAGAGGAUGAUCAGCCACACUGGAACUGAGACACGGUCCAGACUCCUACGGGAGGCAGCAGGUGGGGGAAUAUUGGAACAAUGGGGCGGAAGCCCUGAUCCAGCCCAUGCCCGCGUUGUGGUGAAAGAAGGCCCCUUCGGGUUUGUAAAAGCACUUUUUAAGGCGGGGAAGGAAGGGUUCGCCAACCUAAUUACGUGGCGGGAAUUGGACGUUACCCGGCAGAAAUAAGCCACCGGGUACUCUGGUGCCAGCAGCCGGCGGUAAUACAGAAGGUGGCAAGCCGUUAAUCCGAAUUACUGGGCGU
rnacentral:rRNA from 1 species